rnacentral:sRNA from 1 species
GUUGGGUGUGGUGGUGUACGCCUGUAAUCCCAGCAGCUCAGGAGGCUGAGACAGGAGGAUUGCAAGUGCAAAGGCAGCCUCAGCAAAAGUGAGGCGCUAAGCAACUCAGUGAGACGCUGCCUCUA